UACGUAGGGGGCAAGCGUUGUCCGGAAUCAUUGGGCGUAAAGCGCGUGUAGGCGGUCCGGUAAGUCCGCUGUGAAAGUCGGGGGCUCAACCCUCGGAUGCCGGUGGAUACUGUCGGGCUCGAGUACGGAAGAGGCGAGUGGAAUUCCUGGUGUAGCGGUGAAAUGCGCAGAUAUCAGGAGGAACACCAAUUGCGAAGGCAGCUCGCUGGGACGUUACUGACGCUGAGACGCGAAAGCGUGGGGAGCAAACAGG
rnacentral:rRNA from 1 species